GUGGCUUAUAAACAACAGAAAUUUAUUUCUCAUGGUUCUGGAGGCUGGAAGUUUGAGAUCAGGAUGCCAGCAUAGUUGGGUUCUAGUGGGGACCCUCUUCCAUGCCCUCACCUGGCAGACAGCAGAAAGAGGAAGUAAGCUCUCUGUGAUUCUUAUGAGGACACUGAUUCUAUCGAUGAUGAGGACCCUACGCUCAUGACCUCAUCUAAUCUUAAAGCCUCCCAGAGCCUCACCUUCCUGGUACCAUCACAUGGGGGCAGGUAUAGGAUUUCAACAUAUGAAUUUUAGGGGGACACAAAGAUUCAGUUGGUAGUUUUCCCCCAUGAUCACUGAGACUUCCCAGGACCCUAACACCCGGACAGAUUUGAGCCUUGUUCUCUCUCCACUGAAAGUGGGGGAUGGUGAGGCACCCCGGAGGGGCUUCUGAACAAGGGGGAAGCUGGCAUCCCAGUGUCUGCCCCCCACCCCCAAGCAAGAAUUCCAGGGUCCCCAGAACCUACCCAGGUAUCUACUGAGCUGAAGAUAACAAGAGCAGAGGGGGAGGACUCAAUUCCAGAUGGAUUCCCAAAGCUGAUUUUCAAAAGCCAUGUGACUCCCAGCUGUCCACUUCCUAAUUCAGAAAUGUGGGGGACGAGCCAGAUGAAAAGGAAGAGGAGGGCCUUGCAGACCAGGAGCAGAGUAGAGCAAAGAUGGGGAAGCAGGCAGAAGCAGGGUGUGGGAGCCGGUGGCCAGGAAUCCCGGAUGCUGCUGAUCCUCUGCGUGUUCAGGUUUACCAUGGAGAGCUGCGAUCGCUCCUUCUCCGGGGACUCAUUCUCUGCCUUGUCCCAUCCACAGAACCUCGCCUCCCUUCUAAUGUCCCAGUGACGGUAAGGGCGUCCGUGUGUCCUGCCUGCGAGGCAUCUCGUUUUCAAAAGAAACACUCGUUUUCAAAAGAGUGCAACAGCCCUCAAUUUUUCAUAGCUAUCGCAUUCGUUAAAGGCUAACAACGCGCAGUCUCGGUUCAGCUCCGAUCCGCCCGGGCGCCUCCGAACCGGCCUUGGACGCGGGCGGCGCGGUCAGCCUGCCCGGCCGCGCACCGCGCAGCCCGCUCCGGCCGCCGCCGGCAGGGGGCGAUGGCGA
rnacentral:lncRNA from 1 species